AUGGAUAAAUUGGUAGAUAGCUGAAUGGCUUAUCAUUGGAAUGGGACCAGUGGCCUUAUAAGAAGAGAGACCUGAGCUAGCACACACAGCCCCCUCACAUGGGCCACCUCAGUACUCUGCAGGGUCCCCACCAGCAGGAAAGCCUUCACCAGAUAUGGCCCUUUGACUCUGACUUCUCAGCCUCCAUAACCGUAGUCAAACAGUGAACAUGAUUCCUUCAGAGAAAGGACCCAAGCUGCCUACAAGCUCCAGUUUGGCAUCCCCUCCCAAAGU
rnacentral:lncRNA from 1 species